UAAAAGCUAAUGACAUAAUAAUCUAAAUAUUAUUAAAAUUAUUUAAAUGAUAUAAUAUUUCUAAUAAGUGAGAAUGUAUAUAUAUAUAUAAUCUCAAAAUCAUUUUGCCAUUGCAAUUUCGAUUAAAUCGGUUCAACUGUUCUCAGUUUAGAAGGAUCAGUGAUUUGGACAUAAUUUUUUACUGGUUGAUCUCAGUUUCCUACAAAUCCAAGUUAUCAGUUGAACCAAAUUGAUAUGAAGACCCCCUUAACUGCCCAGUUCGAUCUAAUUUUCAGCACCAUGAAUCAACGUCUAUCCAGUUUAUCUGGAUCAAAUGUUCAAGUUAACUUGCACUGUAUCUUUAUAAUUGGCAAAAAAUAUAUAUAUUCUAUGUGGCAGAUCCAUUCUUCGAACAUACGCUCAUGAUGAUGUAAGUGCUGGAUCAUGGUUUAUUGGGAUUGAUGUCAAGCAUAUUAAUGAAGGAAAACUCUGCUGUUCCUCAUGGUCCUCAGGAUCUGUAUGUGCAACUGUGUGAAUGAGUUUUGAUUAACUAUAGAUGUCACUGCACUAACAAUGGCAGAGUAGUCUCUCUUGUCUUCUACUGUACAAUAUUCAUUCUCCCAAGUUUUUUUAUUAUUUCAUCUGUCUCAAAAUGUCUCUAUUUUGCUUGGCCAUCUUUGCCACACCAUUCUUCCUUGUCAAACAAAUAGUUGAGAAUUAUAAUAGAAAAUUCUUUGAUGUUUA